AUACGUAGGGGGCGAGCGUUGUCCGGAUUUAUUGGGCGUAAAGGGUGCGUAGGCGGUCUUGUAAGUUAGAUGUGAAAUCUCACGGCUUAACCGUGGUAAGCAUUUGAAACUGCAGGGCUAGAGUACAGGAGAGGAGAGUGGAAUUCCUAGUGUAGCGGUGAAAUGCGUAGAUAUUAGGAGGAAUACCAGUGGCGAAGGCGGCUCUCUGGACUGUAACUGACGCUGAGGCACGAAAGCGUGGGGAGCAAGCAGGAUUAGAUACCCUGGUAGUCCACGCUGUAAACGAUGAGUGCUAGGUGUCGGGGGUCAAACCUCGGUGCCGCAGUUAACACAUUAAGCACUCCGCCUGGGGAGUACGGUGGCAACACUGAA
rnacentral:rRNA from 1 species